rnacentral:rRNA from 1 species
GGUAACGCUGGCGUUGUCAUAAUACAUGCAAGUCGAGCGAAUNGAUUAAGAGCUUGCUCUUAUGAAGUUAGCGGCGGACGGGUGAGUAACACGUGGGUAACCUGCCCAUAAGACUGGGAUAACUCCGGGAAACCGGGGCUAAUACCGGAUAANAUUUUGAACUGCAUGGUUCGAAAUUGAAAGGCGGCUUCGGCUGUCACUUAUGGAUGGACCCGCGUCGCAUUAGCUAGUUGGUGAGGUAACGGCUCACCAAGGCAACGAUGCGUAGCCGACCUGAGAGGGUGAUCGGCCACACUGGGACUGAGACACGGCCCAGACUCCUACGGGAGGCAGCAGUAGGGAAUCUUCCGCAAUGGACGAAAGUCUGACGGAGCAACGCCGCGUGAGUGAUGAAGGCUUUCGGGUCGUAAAACUCUGUUGUUAGGGAAGAACAAGUGCUAGUUGAAUAAGCUGGCACCUUGACGGUACCUAACCAGAAAGCCACGGCUAACUACGUGCAC